CGAAAAUGUAAACAAAAGAAAAUUCAGUAUCAAUAAUGCAAAUGAAGAUAAAGAAGAAACCAAGGAUUACGUUGCAACAAUAAAAGUGGAAGUGAAAGCCCCGAGUAGGAAGCCAGCAACGCCGACAUAUUUAUUGUGGAGUGAAUAGGUACAAAUUGAAGUAAAAAAUUACACUCCUCCACAAGACUUUGUUCCUGGCAAUCAAAUCGCUCUAUUCUGAUGGCUUAUAUCCUCAUUUUAAACCUUGUAGGAAUAAGAAGGGGCGGCUCCAGCGAUGUCGCAGAAGUCUGAAAAACUUUGCUUUGCAACCUAUCCGACAUGCUUCACUUGACGAGAUGGAUAUACAAUUCGAGAGUUGUUAUAAAGUUGAGGAAUCUCUUUACUUGGUGGUCAUUUAUAGCCAAGCCAAAUACAAAUACAAGUUGAAUUAAUUGCAGCGUGUGAAAGCAGUAGCACAUUCACGUAAUGUGCCACCAUCUUUGCAAUGCAAAGCACUUCUUUCAGCCAGCUACGGAUAGGCGAAAGAUCGCAAUGUAUGCAAGUCCUUCCUGAUCAUGUGAACAAUAGUUAAUUUAAUCUACAGUCAGUUUUUCAAGACAGUACCUACCACCGAGGAUUGGACGAUUGAUCUGAUUCACUAUGUUCUUUUUUGCAGAAAUGCACAUUUGAAUAUCUUCCUUUUACAUUUUUUGGCGAACUCUGUGAUGUAGUUGGUCUCUGGAAUUCAAUUGAAAUACCUUCCUUCAUUCAUGAUUUAUUGCUUUCAAUGUGUCAAUAUCUUUAUUUCAAUUCUGCCUCUUGUUACCAACGAAGAAGGAGACAAGUUCGGAAAAUCUGCUGGCGAUGGUAUUUGGCUGGACGAAGAAAAAAAGUCGCCUUUUUCUAUUUAUCAGUUCUUUUUGAAAAUGCCAGAUUCUGAAGUCGUUAAGAUUUUUCCAGAGCCUGGACUAUCCAAUCUUGAUCUGGCACUAAAAGCUUAAUGAUUUACAACAGAGACUGAUACGAUGAGAAUCAUCACAGCUGGAGGGUUCUAUAUCAAGCAAUAGCGAACUUAAAACUUCGCACUAACAUCACACUAACUCAUCAGCACUAACAUCACAUACCAUUUCUAUCUAUUAGUUCAAAAUGUUAAAUGUCUCCUUUUUGUUGGCAAUGAUGAGCAUAUGGAUAAAAACAAUUUGUUUAGCUUAUAUCCAUAUUCAAUUUUACAUUAAUUGAAAAUCAUUAAUAAUAAUAUUGUAUUCUUUUUUUAUUAAAAAAAAAAAUAAUUUGAAUCAUUAAACAUGUAGACUUCCUGGUUUGUUAAUCAUGUUUAUAUAUUUUUUUAAAUACAAUGAAAUUAAUUCAAAUAUGUUUUUAAAUUCCAUUCGGUACUCAAAUUUAUAAUUAGUGACAUAAUAUACAUACAUACAUUUAAGGCUUUUUUAGGCUUACUAAAUUCAUGAAGUAGUUUUUUUUUAAAAAAAAUGUGAUGAUUUCCAAAUCUACAAUAUUUUUUUAAUAUUUCGCUUAAAUUUGUUUCGUACUUUUCAUCUUGUAGUACAUUGAAUAAAUAAAAAAAUAAUGUUGAGAAAUGGUGUUCUUCAGUUUGAGCACAUGUAGCUAAAAUCGAAGUUUAGAUUCGUAAUCAGCAUCAAAAAUUAUCUCAAACGAACUAUUUAAAAUUUGUACAUUACCAUUUAUAUAUUCUUCAAAAUUCACUUGAUUCAACCGAAUUCAACCCCUGAAGAAAAAAGCACCAACAUCUUUGAAUUCAAAACAAAUUCCUUUAUUAUUAAAGUAAAGCAAAUCAUAAAUAAUUUUGAAUAAAAAUAAUCCUAGUCAGCAAAGAAACAGUAGAAUAUACAAUAUAUACAAAAUUACACUAUAGCUCAAAAUAAAUAAACAAGUUGUUUGCAAAAAAAGAUUAUUUUCUAGAUAUACAUAGAAAUAAAUUUAGGAACCUAGCUGUAAUAUACAUUUUAAAUAAAACCUAUAAUCUAUAA